rnacentral:rRNA from 1 species
UACGUAGGGCGCAAGCGUUGUCCGGAAUUAUUGGGCGUAAAGAGCUCGUAGGCGGUCUGUCGCGUCCGUUGUGAAAACUCGAGGCUCAACCUCGGGCUUGCAGUGGAUACGGGCAGACUAGAGUGCGGUAGGGGAGACUGGAAUUCCUGGUGUAGCGGUGGAAUGCGCAGAUAUCAGGAGGAACACCGGUGGCGAAGGCGGAUCUCUGGGCCAUUACUGACGCUGAGGAGCGAAAGCGUGGGGAGCAAACAGG